UUUCCAUCUACGUAACAUUGCAAAAAUCUGAAACUUUCUGUCCAAAAAUGAUGCAGAAAAAUUGUUCCAUGCUUUUGUCACUUCUAGGUUAGACUACUGCAAUGCUCUACUUUCCGGCUACCCGGAUAAAGCACUAAAUAAACUUCAGUUAGUGCUAAAUUCGGCUGUUAGAAUCCUGACUAGAACCCAAAAAUGUAAUCAUAUUACUCCAGUGCUAGCCUCCCUACACUGGCUUCCUGUCAAGGCAAGGGCUGAUUUCAAGGUUUUACUGCUAACCUACAAAGCAUUACAUGGGCUUGCUCCUACCUAUCUCUCUCAUUUGGUCCUGCCGUACAUACCUACACGUACGCUACAGUCACAAGACGCAGGCCUCCUAAUUGUCCCUAGAAUUUCUAAGCAAACAGCUGGAGGCAGGGCUUUCUCCUAUAGAGCUCCAUUUUUAUGGAAUGGUCUGCCUACCCAUGUGAGAGACACAAACUUGGUCUCAACAUUUAAGUCUUUACUGAAGACUCAUCUCUUCAGUGGGUCAUAUGAUUGAGUGUAGUCUGGCCCAGGAGUGUGAAGGUGAACAGAAAGGCACUGGAGCAACGAACCACCCUUGCUGUCUCUGCCUGGCCGGUUUCCCUCUUUCCACUGGGAUUCUCUGCCUCUAACCCUAUUACAGGGGCUGAGUCACUGGCUUACUAGGCCUCUUUCAUACCGUCCCUAGGAGGGGUGCGUCACUUGAGUGGGUUGAGUCACUGAUGUGAUCUUCCUAUCUGGGUUGCCGUGGCGGAGAUCUUUGUGGGCUAUACUCAGCCUUGUCUCAGGAUGGACCUGAGCCCUAGGACCAUGCCUCAGGACUACCUGACAUGAUGACUUCUCACUGUCCCCAGUCCAGCUGGCCGUGCUGCUGCUCCAGUUUCAACUGUUGUGCCUUUGAUUUUUAUUAUUUGACCAUGCUGGUCAUUUAUGAACAUUUGAACAUCUUGGCCAUGUUCUGUUAUAAUCUCCACCCGGCACAGCCAGAAGAGGACUGGCCACCCCACAUAGCCUGGUUCCUCUCUAGGUUUCUUCCUAGGUUUUGGCCUUUCUAGGGAGUUUUUCCUAGCCACUGUGCUUCUACACCUGCAUUGCUUGCUGUUUGGGGUUUUAGGCUGGGUUUCUGUACAGCACUUUGAGAUAUCAGCUGAUGUACGAAGGGCUAUAUAAAUAAAUUUGAUUUGAUUUGAUUCUUGAGGAUUGACCACAAGUUCUCAAAGGGAUUAAGGUCUGGGGAGUUUCCUGGCCAUGGAACCAAAAUAUUGGUGUUUUGUUCCCCUAGCCACUUAGUUAUCACUUUUGCCUUAUGGCAAGGUGCUCCAUAAUGCUGUAAAAGGCAUUGUUCGUCACCAAACUGUUCCAGGAUGGUUGGGAGAAGUUGAUCUCGGAGGAUGUGUUGGUUCCAUUCUUUAUUCAUGGCUGUGUUCUUAGGCAAAAUUGUGAGUGAGCCCACUCCCUUGGCUGCAAAGCAACCCCACACAUGAAUCUUCUCCGUACAAGCUUUUUUCCGGAUGCCCCAAACAAUCGGAAAGGGGAUUCAUCAGAGAAAAUGACUUUACUCCAGUCCUCAGCAGUCCAAUUCCUGAACCUUUUGCAGAAUAUCAGUCUGUCCCUGAUGUUUUUCCUGGAGAGAAGUGGCUUCUUUGCUGCCCUUCUUGACACCAGGCCAUCCUCCAAAAGUCUUCACCUCCUGCCUGCUGCCAUUACUGAGCAAGCUCUGUACUGGUGGUGCCCUGAUCCCACAGCCGAAUCAACUUUAAGAGAAUGUCCUGGCGCUUGCUGGACUUUCUUGGGCGCCCUAAAGCCUUCUACACAACAAUUGAACUGCUCUCCUUGAAGUUCUUGAUGAUCCGAUAAAUGGUUGAUUUAGGUGCAAUCUUACUGGAGGCAAUAUCCUUGUCUGUGAAGCCCUUUUUGUGCAAAGCAAUGAUGGCGGCACGUGUUUCCAUGGUUGACAGAGGAAGAACAAUGAUUCCAAGCACCACCCUCCUUUUGAAGCUUCCAGUCUGUUAUUCGAACUCAAUCAGCAUGACAGAGUGAUCUCCAGCCUUGUUCUCGUCAACACUCACACCUGUGUUAACGAGAGAAUCACUGACAUGAUGUCAGCUGGUCCUUUUGUGGCAGGGCUGAAAUGCAGUGGAAAUGUUUUGGGGGAUUCAGUUUAUUUGCAUGGCGAAGAGGGACUUUGCAAUUAAUAGCAAUUCAUCUGAUCACUCUUCGUAACAUUCUGGAGUAUAUGCAAAUUGCCAUCAUACAAACUGAGACAGCAGACUGUGAAAAUUAAUAUUUGUGUAAUUCUCAAAAGUUUUGGCCAUGACUGUAGAGCUCCCAAGAACAGAGCAAAGGCAGCUCAAGAUGAACAAAAAAAAAUAUAUAAAUUGCAACAGAUGUGGUUACAAGCAUGAGUACAGAAAAUUCCCAGCCUAUGUUCAAGUAUGUACUGCCAAAAGAAGAAUCACUUUGCCAAGAUGUGCAAAUCACAGAGCCAACAAAGGAAAAUGCCUGCAGUUGAGCAGAGUGAAGACAAUGACAGUAUGUUCCUAGGCACAGUUGAGAUUGAGAUGACUGAAAAAUUCAAACACAUUGAAGUUGUCACUGCAGAUGUGGACAAUGACAAAGCGAAAUAGACUAAGAAACUGAGAAUAGGAAGGCCAUAAAGAUCAUCAAGGACGACAACCUGAGAAACUGAGAAUAGGAAGGCCAUAAAGAUCAUCAAGGACGACAACCACCUGAGCCACUGCCUGUUCACCCCGUUAUCAUCCAGAAGACGAGGUCCAAAGGCGAGUGUCGCCAGCAAAACACCAUCACACCUCCUCCUCCUCCAUGCUUCACAGUGGGAACCACACAUGUAGAGAUCAUCCGUUCACCUACUCUGCAUCUCACCAUGACAUGGCAUUUGGAACCAUAAAUCUCAAAUUUGGACUCAUCAGAUCAAAGGACAGAUUUCUAGUGGUCUUAUGUCCAUUGCUUGUGUUUCUUGGCCCAAGCAAGUCUCUUCUUAUUAUUGGUGUCCUUUAGUAGUGGUUUCUUUGCAACAAUUUGACCAUGAAGGCCUGAUUCACUGACCAUGAAGGCCUCCUCUGAACAGUUGUCAUUGAGAUAUGUCUGUUAUUUGAACUCUGUGAAGCAUGUAUUUGGGCUGCAAUCUGAGGUGCAGUUAACUCUAAUGAACUUAUCCUCUGCAGCAGAGGUAACUCUGGGUCUUCCUUUCCUGUGGCGGUCCUCAUGAGAGCCAGUCCCAUCAUAGAGCUGAAUUUUUUUUGCGACUGUACUUGAAGAAACGUUCAAAGUUCUUGACAUUUUCCCGAUUGACUGACCUUAAUGUCUUAAAGUAAUGAUGGACUGUCAUUUCUCUUUGCAUAUUUGAGUUGUUCUUGCCAUAAUAUGGACUUUGUAUUUUACCAAAUAGGGCUAUCUUCUUUAUACCAACUCUACACAACUGAUUCUCUCAAAUGCAAUAAGAAGGGAAAAAAAUCGACAAAUUAACUUUUAACAAGGCACUCCUGUUAAUUGAAAUACAUUCCAGGUGACUAACUCAUGAAGCUGGUUGAGAGAAUGCCAAGAGUGUGAAACGUUGUCAUUAAGGCAAAGGGUGGCUACUUUCAUACUUUUUUUGGUUACUAUAUGAUUACAUAUGUGUCAUUUCAUAGUUUUGAUGGCUUCACUUUUAUUCUGCAAUGUAUUAAAUAGUUUAAAAAAAUAAUAAACUGAAAUGAAUAGGUGUGUCCAAAGUUUUUACUGGUACUGUAAAUGCAAGAGAAAAGUCAGGAUUCAGAGAGGAGAGGUGUGGCAACCAGCUGUCGCGUGCUGAAAAGACAUGAGCAGCUAAGGUCAUUUGUUG
ensembl:lncRNA